AUUGAACGCUGGCGGAAUGCUUUACACAUGCAAGUCGAGCGGCAGCGCGGGGCAACCUGGCGGCGAGCGGCGAACGGGUGAGUAAUACAUCGGAACGUACCCAGUUGUGGGGGAUAGCCCGGCGAAAGCCGGAUUAAUACCGCAUACGACCUGAGGGUGAAAGGGGGGGGAUCGCAAGACCUCUCGCAGUUGGAGCGGCCGAUGGCGGAUUAGCUAGUUGGUAGGGUAAAGGCCUACCAAGGCGACGAUCCGUAGCUGGUCUGAGAGGACGACCAGCCACACUGGAACUGAGACACGGUCCAGACUCCUACGGGAGGCAGCAGUGGGGAAUUUUGGACAAUGGGGGCAACCCUGAUCCAGCCAUUCCGCGUGAGUGAAGAAGGCCUCGGUUGUAAAGC
rnacentral:rRNA from 1 species